rnacentral:rRNA from 1 species
GGAAUAUUCGUCAAUGGGGGAAACCCUGAACGAGCAAUGCCGCGUGAAGGAUGACGGUCCUAUGGAUUGUAAACUUCUGUUGUUAGGGAAGAAAGAACUAAGUAGGAAAUGACUUAGGAGUGACGGUACCUUUCAAGAACGCUCCGGCUAACUACGUGCCAGCAGCCGCGGUAAUACGUAGGGAGCGAGCGUUAUCCGGAUUUAUUGGGUGUAAAGGGUGCGUAGGCGGCCUAUUAAGUCUGUAGUCUAAGCCCGGAGCUUAACUCCGGUUCGCUACAGAAACUGAUUAGCUUGAGUAUGGUAGAGGCAAGUGGAAUUUCUAGUGUAGCGGUUAAAUGCGUAGAUAUUAGAAGGAACACCAGUGGCGAAGGCGACUUGCUGGGCCAUUACUGACGCUGAGGCACGAAAGCGUGGGGAGCAAAUAGG